GACAGAGGGGGCAAGCGUUGCUCGGAAUUACUGGGCGUAAAGGGCGCGUAGGCGGGAUGGCAAGUCGGUCGUGAAAUCCCUCGGCUCAACCGAGGAACGUCGAUCGAUACUGCUGUUCUUGAGGAUUGCAGAGGAGACUGGAAUUCCCGGUGUAGCGGUGAAAUGUGUAGAGAUCGGGAGGAACACCGGUGGCGAAGGCGGGUCUCUGGGCCUGUACUGACGCUGAGGAGCGAAAGCGUGGGGAGCGAACAGG
rnacentral:rRNA from 1 species